GUUCUGCAGUCAUUUGAUCCAAACCAAGCAGGAUCAUACCGGCGCUUUAAAUGCAAACUUUCAUUUUCUGAGGACUAAAAUAAAAUUUAAAAAAUGUUGAUUUACAAAAAUAAACGAAAUAAUGAACUUUUAUUUUGAGCACUGCGUUCUGCUUUGUAUGUGUUCAUAAUACCAGGAGGAACGUUGAUUCUGUAGACUGUGCGCCUCUAAAUUCAGAUUUCUCAUCAAUUGAAUCUUCCUCGGUCAGAAGGAAAAGGUCAACUACACUGGUGCAGCUUAGAAGGUUUGACAGAAUAAUAGCAGGAACAUGGGAGAUGAUGGUACAGAUGAUGAGGUGGAGAUGGGAACCAUGUGGUUGUGUUUGGUUUUGUAUGAAGAAACAAUAAAGGUGCAUAUUAAUAUCCAUGAGGGCAGGGGCGGAGCCAGAGGGGGGGCCAGUGCCCCCCUGUCAUCUGAUUGGCCCCCUGAUGAUUGACAUGUAACAGCACCAGUUGCUGCUGUGGUGAAACUCAAAGCCUAAAGCCCUUCAUACCUGGUGGUGAUGGUGAAACACCAAUAAGUUAUUUAUUGAUCCUCCACAAA